rnacentral:rRNA from 1 species
UACGUAGGGGGCUAGCGUUGUCCGGAAUCAUUGGGCGUAAAGCGCGUGUAGGCGGCCCGGUAAGUCCGCUGUGAAAGUCGGGGGCUCAACCCUCGAAAGCCGGUGGAUACUGUCGGGCUCGAGUGCGGAAGAGGCGAGUGGAAUCCUGGUGUAGCGGUGAAAUGCGCAGAUAUCAGGAGGAACACCGAUUGCGAAGGCAGCGUCGCUGGG